GGGUGAUUAGCUCAGUUGGUUAGAGCGCUUCUCUGAUAAGGAAGAGGUCCCAGGUUCGAUUCCUGGAUCACCCACCA
rnacentral:tRNA from 1 species